rnacentral:lncRNA from 1 species
GUGUAGCCGCCGAACCUUGUUGGAGGUUCUGGGGCGCAGAACCGCUACUGCUGCUUCGGUCUCUCCUUGGGAAAAAAUAAAAUUUGAACCUUUUGGAGCUGUGUGCUAAAUCUUCAGUGGGACAAUGGGUUCAGACAAAAGAGUGAGUAGAACAGAGCGUAGUGGAAGAUACGGUUCCAUCAUAGACAGGGAUGACCGUGAUGAGCGUGAAUCCCGAAGCAGGCGGAGGGACUCAGAUUACAAAAGAUCUAGUGAUGAUCGGAGGGGUGAUAGAUAUGAUGACUACCGAGACUAUGACAGUCCAGAGAGAGAGCGUGAAAGAAGGAACAGUGACCGAUCCGAAGAUGGCUACCAUUCAGAUGGUGACUAUGGUGAGCACGACUAUAGGCAUGACAUCAGUGACGAGAGGGAGAGCAAGACCAUCAUGCUGCGCGGCCUUCCCAUCACCAUCACAGAGAGCGAUAUUCGAGAAAUGAUGGAGUCCUUCGAAGGCCCUCAGCCUGCGGAUGUGAGGCUGAUGAAGAGGAAAACAGAAAAAGUUGGUGAUUCAAGGAAAGCACAUUGCAAUGCAUUAUAGCAAUCCCAGACCUAAGUUUGAAGAUUGGCUUUGUAACAAGUGCUGCCUUAACAAUUUCAGGAAAAGACUAAAAUGCUUCCGAUGUGGAGCAGACAAGUUUGACUCUGAACAGGAAGUGCCUCCUGGAACCACAGAGUCGGUUCAGUCUGUGGAUUACUACUGUGAUACGAUCAUUCUUCGGAACAUAGCUCCGCACACUGUGGUGGAUUCCAUCAUGACAGCACUGUCUCCUUACGCGUCUUUAGCUGUCAAUAACAUCCGCCUCAUAAAAGACAAACAGACCCAGCAGAACAGAGGCUUCGCAUUUGUGCAGCUGUCCUCUGCAAUGGAUGCUUCUCAGCUGCUUCAGAUAUUACAGAGUCUCCAUCCUCCUUUGAAAAUUGAUGGCAAAACUAUUGGGGUUGAUUUUGCAAAAAGUGCCAGAAAGUGAGUGGCUUCAUUGUCCUUAUUUCAAACUACUGCAUAUGCACAUUUGUACAGUGUGCUAACUGAACGCCAAGCCUGUGCCCCAAGUAUGUUGAGACACUGUGAUCCUCCCUGAUUGCCAAGGCCAGGAGGGACACGUUUGUCUUCUUUUAGUGAUUAUUCCCUACUGUCCUGUGUAACCAGUUGAUGAAGUUGCCUGAAAUGGUUUCAGAUCAGGAGAAAGAGACUUGGUCCUCUCAGAUGGUAACCGCGUCAGCGCUUUCUCUGUAGCUAGUACGGCUAUUGCUGCUGCUCAGUGGUCAUCCACCCAGUCUCAAAGUGGUGAAGGAGGCAGUGUUGACUACAGUUAUCUGCAACCAGGUCAAGAUGGCUAUGCCCAAUAUGCUCAGUAUUCACAGGAUUAUCAGCAGUUUUAUCAACAACAAGCUGGAGGAUUGGAAUCUGAUGCAUCAUCUGCAUCAGGCACAGCAGUGACCACCACCUCAGCGGCUGUAGUGUCCCAGAGUCCUCAGCUGUAUAAUCAAACCUCCAAUCCACCUGGCUCUCCGACUGAGGAAGCACAGCCUAGCACUAGCACAAGUACACAGGCCCCAGCCGCUUCCCCUACUGGUGUAGUUCCUGGUACCAAAUAUGCAGUACCUGACACGUCCACUUACCAGUAUGAUGAAUCUUCAGGAUAUUACUAUGAUCCGACAACAGGGCUCUAUUAUGACCCCAACUCGCAAUACUACUAUAAUUCCUUGACCCAGCAGUACCUUUACUGGGAUGGGGAAAAAGAGACCUACGUGCCAGCUGCAGAGUCUAGCUCCCACCAGCAGUCGGGCCUGCCUCCUGCAAAAGAGGGGAAAGAG